UACGAGGGGGGCGAGCGUUGUUCGGAUUUACUGGGCGUAAAGGGCGUGCAGGCGGUCUGUUAAGUUCAGGGUGAAAGCUCCCGGCUCAACUGGGAGAGGUCCUUGGAUACUGGCAGACUUGAGGGAGGUAGAGGAGAGUGGAAUUCCCGGUGUAGUGGUGAUAUGCGUAGAUAUCGGGAGGAACACCAGUGGCGAAGGCGGCUCUCUGGGCCUUUCCUGACGCUGAGACGCGAAAGCGUGGGGAGCGAACCGG
rnacentral:rRNA from 1 species